GUGAGAUGUUGGGUUAAGUCCCGCAACGAGCGCAACCCUUGUCCCUAGUUGCUACGCAAGAGCACUCUAGGGAGACUGCCGGUGACAAACCGGAGGAAGGUGGGGAUGACGUCAAGUCCUCAUGGCCCUUAUGGGUAGGGCUUCACACGUCAUACAAUGGUCGGAACAGAGGGUCGCCAACCCGCGAGGGGGAGCCAAUCCCAGAAAACCGAUCGUAGUCCGGAUCGCAGUCUGC
rnacentral:rRNA from 1 species